rnacentral:tRNA from 1 species
UCUAUUAUGGCAGAUUAGUGCAUUGGCCUUAAACCCCAAUCAAAAAAGAAAUUUUUUAUAGAA